CAUACCUUUAAACGGUGAAACCGCGAAUGGCUCAUUAAAUCAUCUAUGGUUCCUUAGAUCGUACACACUACAAGGAUAACUGUAGUAAUUCUAGAGCUAAUACAUGCCACUAUGCCCUGACCCGCAAGGGAAUGGGUGGAUUUAUUAGAACAGAACCAACCGGGGAUAGCUUCUGCUGUUCCUGUUGUACUCUGUGAUGACUCUGGAUAACUUUACUGAUCGCAGUCGGCCUUGUGUCGGCGACGGAUCUUUCAAAUGUCUGCCCUAUCAAUUUGAUGGUAGGUGAUCUGCCUACCAGGAUAAUAACGGGUAACGGGGAAUCAGGGUUCGAUUCCGGAGAGGGAGCCUGAGAAACGGCUACCACAUCCAAGGAUGGCAGCAGGCGCGAAAAUUACCCACUCCCGGCACGGGGAGGUAGUGACGAAAAAUACGGAUACGGGACUCAAACGAGGCUCCGUAAUUCGAAUGAGUACAAUUUAAAUCCUUUAACGAGGACCAAUUGGAGGGCAAGUCUGGUGCCAGCAGCCGCGGUAACUCCAGCUCCAAAAGCGUAUAUUAAAGUUGCUGCAGUUAAAAAGCUCGUAGUUGGAUCUGGGUUGUGCGUUCACGCGCCUUUACUUGUUUAUCAGACUCGGUUAUACCCGGGCUGGUGUUCGAGUUGGUGUAGUGGGCGUGCUGCCUUUCAGCCGUGUCUGUGAAACGGGUGCUGACUGGGUUGAUGGGCAUGUCUUGUUAACCUGUAGCCAUGCUUCUAGAUGCCCUUUACCGGGUGUUGGGAGCGGACGGCAUCUUUACUUUGACAAAUUUGAGUGCUCAAAGCAGGCCUGUGGGCCUGAAAAUUCUUGCAUGGAAUAAUGGAAUAGGACUUCGGUUCUAUUUUGUUGGUUUUCGGAUCCGAAGUAAUGGUUAAGAGGGACAGACGGGGGCAUUUGUAUGGCGGUGUGAGAGGUGAAAUUCUGGGAUCGCCGCCAGACAAACUACAGCGAAAGCAUUUGCCAAGAAUGUUUUCAUUGAUCAGGAGCGAAAGUCAGAGUUUCGAAGACGAUCAGAUACCGUCGUAGUUCUGACCAUAAACGAUGCCAACUGACGAUCCGCGGCGGCACUUAUAUUGGCUCCGCGGGCAGUCCCCGGGAAACCUUUAAGUCUUUGGGCUCCGGGGGAAGUAUGGUUGCAAAGCUGAAACUUAAAGGAAUUGACGGAAGGGCACCACCAGGAGUGGAGCCUGCGGCCUAAUUCGACUCAACACGGGAAAACUCACCCGGCCCGGACACUGUGAGGAUUGACAGAUUGAAAGCUCUUUCUUGAUUCGGUGGUUGGUGGUGCAUGGCCGUUCUUAGUUGGUGGAGCGAUUUGUCUGGUUAAUUCCGAUAACGAACGAGACUUUGUCCUACUAAAUAGUACGCUCGUCCUCUGUGCGCGUAUAGACUGCGGCUUGCAUUGCUUGUCAAAGUGAUGUGGUCGUGGGUCAGCGUGUACGGUGCGGGUGUCUACUUCUUAGAGGGACAAGCGGCGUUCAACCAGUCGCACGAAAUUGAGCAAUAACAGGUCUGUGAUGCCCUUAGAUGUCCGGGGCCGCACGUGCGCUACAAUGACGGUGCCAGCGAGUCUGGAAACCUUACCCGAAAGGGUUGGGUAAACUGUUUCAUCACCGUCGUGACUGGGAUCGGGGCUUGCAAUUAUUCCCCGUGAACGAGGAAUUCCUGGUAAGUGCAAGUCAUAAGCUUGCGCUGAUUACGUCCCUGCCCUUUGUACACACCGCCCGUCGCUACUACCGAUUGAAUGGUUCAGUGAAAUCGUUGGAUCGGUGCCAUUGAAGCGGCUUCGGCUGCUCGACUGGCGCUGAGUAAGAUGAUUUAAUU
rnacentral:rRNA from 1 species